AGCCUACACAUGCAGUCGAGCGGUAGCACAGAGAGCUUGCUCUCGGGUGACGAGCGGCGGACGGGUGAGUAAUGUCUGGGAAACUGCCUGAUGGAGGGGGAUAACUACUGGAAACGGUAGCUAAUACCGCAUAACGUCGCAAGACCAAAGUGGGGGACCUUCGGGCCUCAUGCCAUCAGAUGUGCCCAGAUGGGAUUAGCUAGUAGGUGGGGUAACGGCUCACCUAGGCGACGAUCCCUAGCUGGUCUGAGAGGAUGACCAGCCACACUGGAACUGAGACACGGUCCAGACUCCUACGGGAGGCAGCAGUGGGGAAUAUUGCACAAUGGGCGCAAGCCUGAUGCAGCCAUGCCGCGUGUAUGAAGAAGGCCUUCGGGUUGUAAAGUACUUUCAGCGGGGAGGAAGGCGAUAAGGUUAAUAACCUUGUCGAUUGACGUUACCCGCAGAAGAAGCACCGGCUAACUCCGUGCCAGCAGCCGCGGUAAUACGGAGGGUGCAAGCGUUAAUCGGAAUUACUGGGCGUAAAGCGCACGCAGGCGGUCUGUCAAGUCGGAUGUGAAAUCCCCGGGCUCAACCUGGGAACUGCAUUCGAAACUGGCAGGCUAGAGUCUUGUAGAGGGGGGUAGAAUUCCAGGUGUAGCGGUGAAAUGCGUAGAGAUCUGGAGGAAUACCGGUGGCGAAGGCGGCCCCCUGGACAAAGACUGACGCUCAGGUGCGAAAGCGUGGGGAGCAAACAGGAUUAGAUACCCUGGUAGUCCACGCCGUAAACGAUGUCGAUUUGGAGGUUGUGCCCUUGAGGCGUGGCUUCCGGAGCUAACGCGUUAAAUCGACCGCCUGGGGAGUACGGCCGCAAGGUUAAAACUCAAAUGAAUUGACGGGGGCCCGCACAAGCGGUGGAGCAUGUGGUUUAAUUCGAUGCAACGCGAAGAACCUUACCUGGUCUUGACAUCCACAGAACUUAGCAGAGAUGCUUUGGUGCCUUCGGGAACUGUGAGACAGGUGCUGCAUGGCUGUCGUCAGCUCGUGUUGUGAAAUGUUGGGUUAAGUCCCGCAACGAGCGCAACCCUUAUCCUUUGUUGCCAGCGGUUAGGCCGGGAACUCAAAGGAGACUGCCAGUGAUAAACUGGAGGAAGGUGGGGAUGACGUCAAGUCAUCAUGGCCCUUACGACCAGGGCUACACACGUGCUACAAUGGCACAUACAAAGAGAAGCGACCUCGCGAGAGCAAGCGGACCUCAUAAAGUAUGUCGUAGUCCGGAUUGGAGUCUGCAACUCGACUCCAUGAAGUCGGAAUCGCUAGUAAUCGUAGAUCAGAAUGCUACGGUGAAUACGUUCCCGGGCCUUGUACACACCGCCCGUCACACCAUGGGAGUGGGUUGCAAAAGAAGUAGGUAGCUUAACCUUCGGGAGGGCGCUACCACUUU
rnacentral:rRNA from 1 species